CCUACGGGAGACAGCAGUGAGGAAUAUUGGUCAAUGGGCGCGAGUCUGAACCAGCCAAGUAGCGUGAAGGCUGACUGCCCUAUGGGUUGUAAACUUCUUUUAUAAGGGAAUAAAGUGUUCCACGUGUGGGUUUUUGUAUGUACCUUAUGAAUAAGGAUCGGCUAACUCCGUGCCAGCAGCCGCGGUAAUACGGAGGAUCCGAGCGUUAUCCGGAUUUAUUGGGUUUAAAGGGAGCGUAGGUGGGUUGUUAAGUCAGUUGUGAAAGUUUGCGGCUCAACCGUAAAAUUGCAGUUGAUACUGGCAGUCUUGAGUACAGUAGAGGUAGGCGGAAUGCGUGGUGUAGCGGUGAAAUGCUUAGAUAGCACGAAGAACUCCGAUUGCGAAGGCAGCUCACUGAACUGCAACUGACACUGAGGCUCGAAAGUGUGGGUAUCAAACAGGAUUAGAUACCCCUGUAGUC
rnacentral:rRNA from 1 species